rnacentral:rRNA from 1 species
GAUGAACGCUGGCGGCGUGCCUAAUACAUGCAAGUCGAGCGAACAGACUAGGAGCUUGCUCCUCUGACGUUAGCGGCGGACGGGUGAGUAACACGUGGAUAACCUACCUAUAAGACUGGGAUAACUUCGGGAAACCGGAGCUAAUACCGGAUAAUAUAUUGAACCGCAUGGUUCAAUAGUGAAAGACGGUUUUGCUGUCACUUAUAGAUGGAUCCGCGCCGCAUUAGCUAGUUGGUAAGGUAACGGCUUACCAAGGCAACGAUGCGUAGCCGACCUGAGAGGGUGAGCGGCCACACUGGAACAGAGACACGGUCCAGACGCCUACGGGAGGCAGCAGUAGGGAAUCUUCGGCAAUGGGCGAAAGCUUGACAGAGCAACGCCGCGUGAGUGAUGAAGGUCUUCGGAUCGUAAAACUCUGUUAUUAGGGAAGAACAAAUGUGUAAGUAACUAUGCACGUCUUGACGGUACCUAAUCAGAAAGCCACGGCUAACUACGUG